GUCUCAGGCCGUAUCAGCCUGAAGGCGCCCGAUCUCGUCUGAUCUCGGAAGCUAAGCAGGGUUGGGCCUGGUUAGGAUCUUGGAUGGGAGACCACCUGGGAAUCCCGGGUGCUCGAGGCU
ensembl:rRNA 5S_rRNA 5S ribosomal RNA